rnacentral:misc_RNA from 1 species
GUUAAAUUUACCCCUCAAAAG